GACCACUUGGUCUAGUGGUACGAUUCCUGUUUCGGGCCCAUCAUGGGAAUUACAGGAGGUCCCGAGUUCGAACCUCGGAGUGGUCC